rnacentral:rRNA from 1 species
UGGGGAAUUUUGGACAAUGGGCGCAAGCCUGAUCCAGCCAUGCCGCGUGCGGGAAGAAGGCCUUCGGGUUGUAAACCGCUUUUGUCAGGGAAGAAAUCUUCUGAGUUAAUACCUCGGGAGGAUGACGGUACCUGAAGAAUAAGCACCGGCUAACUACGUGCCAGCAGCCGCGGUAAUACGUAGGAUGCAAGCGUUAAUCGGAAUUACUGGGCGUAAAGCGUGCGCAGGCGGUUUUGUAAGACAGAGGUGAAAUCCCCGGGCUCAACCUGGGAACUGCCUUUGUGACUGCAAGGCUUGAGUGCGGCAGAGGGGGAUGGAAUUCCGCGUGUAGCAGUGAAAUGCGUAGAUAUGCGGAGGAACACCGAUGGCGAAGGCAAUCCCCUGGGCCUGCACUGACGCUCAUGCACGAAAGCGUGGGGAGCAAACAGGAUUAGAUAGCCCUGGUAGUCCACGCCCUAAAACGAUGUCAACUGGUUGUUGGGAAGGUUCCUUCUCAGUAACGUAGCUAACGCGUGAAAGUUGACCGCCUGGGGAGUACGGCCGCAACGGUU